CCUACGGGAGGCAGCAGUAAGGAAUAUUGGUCAAUGGACGCAAGUCUGAACCAGCCAUGCCGCGUGCAGGAUGACGGCCCUCUGGGUUGUAAACUGCUUUUAUACGGGAAGAAACCUCUGGUUGCGAUCAGAGCUGACGGUACCGUAAGAAUAAGGACCGGCUAACUUCGUGCCAGCAGCCGCGGUAAUACGAAGGGUCCAAGCGUUAUCCGGAUUUAUUGGGUUUAAACGGGUGCGUAGGCGGCUUAUUAAGUCAGUGGUGAAACGACUUCAGCUUAACUGAAGAACUGCCAUUGGUACUGAUGAGCUUGAAUAUACUUGAGGUGGGCGGAAUGUGUCAUGUAGCGGUGAAAUGCUUAGAUAUGACACAGAACACCGAUUGCGAAGGCAGCUCGCUAAAGUAUGAUUGACGCUGAUGCACGAAAGCGUGGGGAGCAAACAGGAUUAGAUACCCUGGUAGUCCACGCCCUAAACCGUUGAUAACUCGAUGUGUGCGAUAUACAGUACGCGUCCAAGCGAAAGCAUUAAGUUAUCCNCCGNGGAGUACGUCGNGAGAGUAGAACGACGAAGAGUAGNGNGNGAGAGNGCGAGGACGACGACGAGGGGAGGAGG
rnacentral:rRNA from 1 species